rnacentral:lncRNA from 1 species
CUUUGUCACCGCUCAUCCCUUUUAACCCUUUCUCUUUAAUCUUUUUCACUUCAACCUUCUCUUUGUCUUCCCUAUAGUUGCCCGGAAAAAAAAAAAGUCAAAAACACCCCAUAACCUUAAUCCACCUUUCUCACUUAUCCAAUUUGUUUCUCUCUCAAGUUCAUUCUCUCUCACCCACGCACAACAACCCGCGAUACUGCAAUUUGUUGUUCUUGUUCUGUUCGUUCAUUUGUUUUUAACUUUAAUAACAUAAUAAUUGGUGAUGUUGAUGUUCAUUUUUUAUUGGAGGGCUAUGUUAUAUCUUUUCCCUUUUGAUUGUUAUUAAAUUUGUAAAAUACUAAACUCUACAAUAAUUUAAAUAAUUUCAAAACUAAAAAAGAAAUUGCAAAGCAUUUAGUUUCUUAAUACCAAAUUUCAUAAAAUCAUAGAAAUGAAAGGAGUACAAGUUAAUUUAUGAGCGUGAUGGUAACAAAUUUAUUAAGUUUAAAUUCCAAUUUGAAAUUCACUACAUUUUGUUUUUUUUAAUUUUACUUCUGCGGCAAAUGAUAAAACAGAAAGACAACUUCAUG